rnacentral:rRNA from 1 species
GACGAACGCUGGCGGCGUGCUUAACACAUGCAAGUCGAACGGCAAGGCCCUGCUUUUUUGGUGUGCUCGAGUGGCGAACGGGUGCGUAACACGUGAGUAACCUGCCCUUCACUUUGGGAUAACUUCAGGAAACUGGGGCUACUACCGGAUCGGAGCUCCCGCUGCAUGGUGGGGGUUGGAACGUUUCGGCGGUUGGGGAUGGACUCGCGGCUUAUCAGCUUGUUGGUGGGGUAGUGGCUGACCAAGGCUUUGAAGGGUAGCCGGCCUGAGAGGGUGACCGGCCACAUUGGGACUGAGAGACGGACCAGACUGCUACGGGAGGCAGCAGUGGGGAAUAUGGCACAAUGGGAGGAAGCCUGAUGCAGCAACGUCGGGUGCGGGAUGACGGCCUGCGGGUUGUAAACCGCUGUCGCCUGUGACGAAGCGUGAGUGACGGUAAUGGGUAAAGAAGCACCGGCUAACUACGUG